GGAGAGAUGGCCGAGCGGUUGAAGGCGCACGCCUGGAACGCGUGUAUACGGCAACGUAUCGAGGGUUCGAAUCCCUCUCUCUCCGCCA
rnacentral:tRNA from 1 species